rnacentral:rRNA from 1 species
CCGGCGAGCGGCGGACGGGUGAGUAACGCGUAGGAAUCUGCCCGGUAGCGGGGGAUAGCCCAGAGAAAUUUGGAUUAAUACCGCAUACGCCCUACGGGGGAAAGGAGGGGACUCUUCGGAGCCUUCCACUAUCGGAUGAGCCUGCGUGAGAUUAGCUAGUUGGUGGGGUAAAGGCCUACCAAGGCGACGAUCUCUAGCUGGUCUGAGAGGAUGAUCAGCCACACCGGAACUGAGACACGGUCCGGACUCCUACGGGAGGCAGCAGUGGGGAAUAUUGCACAAUGGGCGAAAGCCUGAUGCAGCCAUGCCGCGUGUGUGAAGAAGGCCUUAGGGUUGUAAAGCACUUUCAGCGAGGAGGAAAGGUUGUCAGUUAAUACCUGGCAGCUGUGACGUUACUCGCAGAAGAAGCACCGGCUAACUCCGUGCCAGCAGCCGCGGUAAU